CCUACGGGAGGCAGCAGUGGGGAAUAUUGCACAAUGGGCGCAAGCCUGAUGCAGCAACGCCGCGUGAGGGACGACGGCCUUCGGGUUGUAAACCUCUUUUAGUAGGGAAGAAGCGAAAGUGACGGUACCUGCAGAAAAAGCACCGGCUAACUACGUGCCAGCAGCCGCGGUAAUACGUAGGGUGCAAGCGUUAUCCGGAAUUAUUGGGCGUAAAGAGCUCGUAGGCGGUUUGUCGCGUCUGCUGUGAAAACUGGAGGCUCAACCUCCAGCCUGCAGUGGGUACGGGCAGACUAGAGUGCGGUAGGGGAGAUUGGAAUUCCUGGUGUAGCGGUGGAAUGCGCAGAUAUCAGGAGGAACACCGAUGGCGAAGGCAGAUCUCUGGGCCGUAACUGACGCUGAGGAGCGAAAGCAUGGGGAGCGAACAGGAUUAGAUACCCUGGUAGUCCAUGCCGUAAACGUUGGGAACUAGAUGUAGGGACCAUUCCACGGUUUCUGUGUCGCNGCUACGACAUACGUUACCCGUCCGUCGGGAGGUACGGCCGGCGACGACGUAAACUAACAACGAAGUAGACGGCGUGAGACGUGCCGACGACGACGACGAGGGAGGUAGG
rnacentral:rRNA from 1 species